AUGUUUUUUUUUUUUUAAUUAAAGUCUUUGUAUACAUAUCUAUAUGAACUUAAUAGUACUUAUUGAAGACGUUACGUAGUCUUUGUUCAAUAAAACUGGAAGACUUUGUUGAUAUGGAGGCGUGUGUCGAUCAAGUUUUGUUGUAUGUUCUACAGUUAGCAAGUACGAAUAAAACUAUCGAUGAUGAGUUUCUUUGGGCAAUUAUGCUGCAAGGUUUUCCAUUGGAGUACGAAUCCAUGACCAUGGCACGUGAGCACUCGGAAAUUGUAAUAUUAGUUGGUUUAGUGAAGACUAAAUUAUUACAAGAAAAGCGUUGGACAACUCGUGGUGAAUCGAAUGAAUGCUUGUUUUCUUGGAAGAAAAGCACUUCAGCUUCGAGUACAUCCGGAACGAGUGACGCGUAAGGAGACAAAGAUGAGUUAAGGAAUGCGAAGCAGUCUUCUUAUCAUAAGAAGGAACCGUGGUGCUGAAAGUGUAGACAGAAAUGGCAUCUUAAAAAAAGAUUGUCGCAGUGAAAAGAGUUUUGUCUGGAAACUGUGUUUUGUCGAUAUACACUGCUAGUGCGGAUACAGAAAAUUCGUUGCAAAUUAACUCAGGAGCCACAAAUUAUGUGACUGAACGGCGUGAUCUGAUGAAUAAUUUCAUAUCGCGUGAUUGUUUAGUGGUGAAAAAGGCUUCGUUUACCGAGGCGGAGUAUAUAGUAUUAUUGGAGGCGGUAAGAGAAGCGGUGUACGUCCGUGUCUUACUCUCCGAGCUGACGGGGCAUAUUAACGCUAUCGUAAUAUAUUGCGGCAAUCAGUCAGCGGUCAAACAGUUGCUGGUCAACAUCCAGGAUUAAGAGGGCGUGUUGAAGUUUUAAUACUGGCUGUUGACACUGAGAACGGGCAAGAAACUCAGCUGCUACUUUUUAGAAAACAAAGAAAAUCAUCAGCUGGGUGCUUUUUGAAGUGAAUUAUUUAAAUUUAAUAAUUUCUGUAAAUGCAAACUACCAAGCAGUGUCAGAUAAUAAAUAAAAAUCAAUAUUAUAUUAGCAUAUUUAUUAAUAUAUUUUUUUAAAGUUUUAUAAUUUUUAUUAUAAUUCAAUGGUUUAUAUGUCAUUUAGAUUCAGGUCGAAACAAAAACUAUUUGUAUGUUCAAAGAGCCAAAUACUAUAUGAGUUUUAGAGAAUAAAUGUUAAAAAAAUAUUUUGCUAAAUAUUAUUCCCAUAUUUAUUAUUGCGAUAAAAAUAGCUUUAUAACAUUAUAUUUGAUUUUUUAAUAAAUAUGACUUAACACUUUAUGGUGUUAUCUGACAGUUGAUCGUAGACUGGAAUAACAGAAAAUAUAAUUGACGGUGCAACGUGAUAAGCAAAUGAAUAGAAAAACAAAACUAAUUAUGUUCUUAUUUGAAAUAAAAUUUCUUUAAAGCUAAUCCUAUACGUUUGAAAAAGAAUUCUUUAUUUGUUUGUAUUACUUCAUAUAAUUUGUAAGACUAUCUAUUAUGUGGUUAUGAAGCAUACAGUCUGCUUGAUGGUAUACGAUUAUCGUAAUCUAUGGACUCAGCAGUUUUUUUAUCUUUGCCAAGAGUUCGUUAAAGGGAUAAAUAAAUUUUGUUAUCACAUAUAAAGUGGUUAUAUUAUUGACAUUUAAUAUUAUUUUAAUAUCAUGCAAGAUAGAUAAUAAGGUUAGCAAUUAAUGGGAACCAUUAGUAAGUUGACACCUAAUAGACACAUAAUUAAAGGGCGAUUAUAAUUGAAUUAAUUUUAGUUUUAUCAGCGUGAAAAUAAUAUUCAAUAUUUUGACAUUAUGUAAAGGAAAUAAAGUUAUUAUUAUUUAAUUUUAGUUAUUAUUAUUUAUUUAAUAAAAGUAGAUUUUACAUAAAAUUUAUUUAAAUUCAGUAUAGGUAGAUAUAUAUUAAUUUGAAUAUAGUAUAGUGCAAAAUAAACAAAUAUAAAAUAAAGAAUAAUAAUUUAAUUAAACAAUAAAUUAUAAAACGUAUGAAGCAUAAAUAUAAAAUUUUCAAAUUAUACGAUUAUGUACUUAAUCAUAAGUGAUAAAAAAUUUUUACCUACUAGCGACUGGCAUCGGCUUAAUAUGGGGCCCAAUUUAUUAUUCAAUUUAUCUACUUAUACGACAACAGUUUGAUUAGAAUAGAAUCUACAUACAAAUCUUCCGUCAAAAUAUCCAAAUGAUAAUAAAAUCUGUAUCAAAAUCCGUUGCUUGCUUUAGAGGAAGUAAGCGGAAAUACGAACAUUGACUUUGUUAUAUAGUUAUGUUUUAACAGAUUAAUUUAAGCCUAUAAUACCGAAAAUUAUAGUUUAGAAGUUAUAGUGUUUGACAGAAUCUGAUUCCGUUAUGCAUAAUUAUCAAUACACAGCCGAGAACAUUGAUAUCACUAAUAUCAGUGUGUGAAACGAAUGAAUUAAUUGAACCGGUCACGAUUUUAUGAUUUGUUUGCAACAGAAGGUGUUUGCAGCGAAUUGUAUAAUGAUUGCAUAGGAAAAUAAGAAUAAUAAGUUUAUGCGGAAAAUAUCUGAUAUCAUUUGCCAUUAGGGAAUCCCAAUGUUUUGUGAUUGCAUUUAUUUGCUAUUUUGCUCAAUGGUUUUACGUCAUUUUGUUGCUAAUAUAGUCAACAAAGGACCGUUAAGUGGUUGUUAUGAUGCACAAAUGUUUAUUUCUUCAUCUAGCAGUACAAGGUCAAGUUCUUAGGCAAAUAAUUCAAAUCGUAUGGUCUUAUGGUAUAUUGUAUUUAAUUUUUCAUAUAAAUAAAUUAAUAAACUGGUUUAGAUUCCUAAUAAUAAAGUAUAAAUAUAUUAUUGUACUUAUAUAUUUAUUACAGUUAUAAUAACAAUAGAUACGAAAAUGAAUGAGUAUCUCUGAAUUUUCGUAAUCUAUUGAAGGUAAAAUUAAAACAAAUAUAUUUGUGAUGUGUCAACAAUUUUAAAAUAAUGUAAUAAAUCCAAUUUAUAAUCAAAAUGUAAUCAUAAUUAUCUAAUUAAUUAGAUUUAUUUAUAGACAAAAAUAAAAUAAAAAAAUAUAUAAAUAAACUCACAACAAAUUAAGACCUUCAUAUUGGACGUGGUCACUCAACGAUGGCCGGACUUGAACUGGUCGUCUCUUUCCUUGUUGUUUUAUUUAAUACAUCGGAAAUCUCGCCACAACUUACUUAUUCAUAAUUAUUAGGUACCUACCUACGAUUGUUUUAUCAUGUUACUUUGUAAAUAAUCUUAGAACAGAGUUUGGUUCGGGAAAUUUAACAAUACGCCACUUUUAACUAACGACCCAAAUUAAUUGGUUAUGGUCAUCAAUUUUCCUUUAAGUUUUAAUUACAUGUAUUAAGUACUGUAUUAAAAAAACUAACAAUACACUUAAUUACAACGCAUUUUUAGUAUUCUUUAUAGUAUUAGAAGUUUUAAUUUCGUAAAAUUUUUAAAAAUACAGAAGUUCAAAAUACAAGAACUAAAGCAAAUUUUGUCAACAUCAAUCUUUGGUAUUUUCAUAACAAAUACUAACAAAACUAUGCAAAAAAAAAUAGUAAACUAAUCGUCAUAAAAUUAAGCAUCACUUUAUCUAGUAUUUGAAAUGAAAAAGGACACAGUCUACUGUUUGUAUCAUUUAAUUAAUAUAUCUUGAUUAUGUGGAUUAAGUCUCAGGUAAAAGCUAGUGAUUAAUAUGUAAAUAACAUAGAAGUAAAUACUAUUGUUUUAAAAAAAUCGAUUCAGAACUAUAGAAGAUAUUUAAAAAAAAAAUAGAAAAGAAAAUCUUGUAAUCAAAAUUAAACCUAAUUUGUAUAAACUCAAAAUAUAACUUGUGUCUAGGCAUAUUAGCGACUAAGGGAGGGCGAGGGAUGGGCAGCAACGUUCUUCCUAAAAUAUCUCCAAAGCCUGACUGUGGUUGCCAAUCCGCCUGCCAAGCAUGGCAACUACUCACGAAACUUCUCCUAGGGGAGGUUUAUAUUCAACAGGUGACAGUUAAAGGUUGACAUGAUGAUGAUGAUGAUAAAUGUACGAGUAAUACUUAUAAAAAAAUAGCUUCAUGUAAUAUUUGAACAAUCCAUGGUCAAGUUCUGUACAUCAGUCAUUAAUAAUAAUAAAAAUAUUUACAAAACAAAUUCCAAUAUUCUUAGAAUUUGUAAAGAAACGUGACAGUUCAGAUUUACUGAAAUUUCGGAGGAAAAUACAUGUUUUUAAUGAAUUCGACAACUUUAUACGAAAAUAAAUAUAUAAACAAUGAAGAAA